AAUUCUCAAACCACCCUUGUUGUGUGGCUUUGGAUAGUUGGGUGUUGCCACUUUUUUCUAUAAGUGGCUCUCCUUAAAUAUAUAAGUGGUAUUUUUUAGAAACUUGUUAGGUGUUGUAAAUUUAUCAAUACAUCUAUGUUUCUAAAUAUACUGCUUCUAACAAAAACCUUUUCUUGAUAA
rnacentral:misc_RNA from 1 species